ACGGAAGGCAGCAGUGGGGAAUAUUGCACAAUGGGGGAAACCCUGAUGCAGCGACGCCGCGUGAGUGAAGAAGUUAUUCGUAAUGUAAAGCUCUAUCAGCAGGGAAGAAAAUGACGGUACCUGACUAAGAAGCCCCGGCUAACUACGUGCCAGCAGCCGCGGUAAUACGUAGGGGGCAAGCGUUAUCCGGAUUUACUGGGUGUAAAGGGAGCGUAGACGGUCUAGCAAGUCUGAUGUGAAAGGCAGGGGCUCAACUCCUGGACUGCAUUGGAAACUGUUAGUCUUGAGUGUCGGAGAGGUAAGCGGAAUUCCUAGUGUAGCGGUGAAAUACGUAGAUAUUAGGAGGAACACCAGUGGCGAAGGCGGCUUACUGGACGAUAACUGACGUUGAGGCUCGAAAGCGUGGGGAGCAAACAGGAUUAGAUACCCUGGUA
rnacentral:rRNA from 1 species